rnacentral:lncRNA from 1 species
AUUCAUAUGAAGGCUGUAUUUUCCUCGACUUUCUUAUUACAUUGAAGAUUUGUUCCUCACUACCGUUGCUAUAUUUCACAGCCUUUGGCUUGGAAACAAAGUGGGAUAAUGGACAAUUACUAGUUCCAACCAACUCUCCAGCCACAAGCAGCCAGUUCUCGAUCACAUCAAAUGCUCUUCCUCCAGGGCCGUUACACGGGAUGUCCUGUCUGGAAUGCCAUUCCUCCCUUGGGUUCCUCUGUUCAAACAUCACUUACUCAGAGAGGCCACCCUGACCAUUCCAUCUAAAUUAACGCCUCAGGUCUUCUUCAGCAGGUCAUUUGGCUUCUUUUCUUUCACAGAACUUAUGACUCUCUGGAAUUAUUUGUCUAUUCACCCCCCAGCCCCCAACUCUAGUGAGGGCAGGGGUCUUGUACAGCUGGUUCUCCAGAUGUGUCCCCAGUGCCUAAAAAACUAAGUCAACAUGUAUUCAGCGAACGAAUGAGAAGAGAAUCACUCCCGAAUUGUGCUCUCUCAAACCCCAAAUACCCUUAACGCUUGCCUCUCCUGGUGGCUGUAAUCCCAUUUUUAACAAUAACACCAUUUUCAAGUGACUCUGAAGCUCGCAAAGUAGCGUUGCCUCCAUUUUCUGAGUAGAGCCCCACAAACAAUGCUCAGAAGGGAGGUCCGGCCUGGCAAGAAUGCGCAUGCCCCCCAUUUACAGUCGAUAAAAUUGAGCCUCAUUAGGGGAUUCGCCAAGGCCGCUGCGAAAUAACGAGCAGGAGCCCUGAAAAGUGUCCUGGUUCCGAAAACCUCUUCCCACGAGAGCGCAUCGUGGACUCGAAAUGCUUCAUCACCUUUAUUACUAUUGUUCCUCAGUACUCAUUCGAGACGCGUUCCAGGCGGAGGGAAGCAGCCCACCUGCUGACCCAAGACCAGGCGCCGGCCUCUCCACCCGGCCGCGCCCCUCGCGCCCCGCCCCCGGCCCCGCCCCCGCCGACCCGGCCCCACUCUUCGCCCCGGCCUCUACUCCCGCCCCGCCAGGGCUCCCGCGCCCCAUAAGGACCACCCUCUUCCGCCUCAGCCAAUCAGCAAAGCUUAGGGGGGCGGUGCCACAGGCCCCGGCCCUCCUAUCUGGGCGCCAAUUAGCCAGCCCAUCCGUCGCUCACGAGGUCGCGCCUCGCACCCGCCUUCCUCCUUUUCUUUUACCCUCCCCUUCAGAAAAAACGGCGGUUGGGCUGCGACGGCCGCCAAAGGCGGACUAGAAGCGGAGGGGUGAAAAUCCCGGCAGAGAAGGAAGAAGGGACUGCAGGCGGGAGGAGGAGGAGGAUAAGGAGGAAGGGAGCCCGCCCAGCCGGAGCCAUCUCCGUCGAGAACAAAAUGGCGGCGCUGGCGGAGGGCCAACUAUAAGGCGGGGCCGCGGCCAUUCCCCCUCCACCCCCACCCUUGCGCCGGCCGGGCCGGUCAGGGGGAACCCGCUCGCUUCGCCCGGCCGCGGGCGGGGAGGGGAGGGGAGCGGCCCGGCCCACUAUGCAAAGCGCCGGGCGCCGCCGCCGCCACCCCGUGGCAAAGAAUAUGCUUUUUGUCUAAUGAUGUUAGAUAAAAAGCAAAUUUGGAGCAGUUUUCUUAUUCGAGUUCAAAAUGGUUCAUAAAGCAGCGAAGACAACUCAAAACAUCAGUAACACAUUUGGCCCAGGAACUGCUAACAAACAUACAGUGCAGUGGUGGCUUAAGAAGUUUUGCAAGGAAGAGAGCCUUGAAGAUGAGGAACGUGAUAUGGGCCAUGGGAAGUUGACAACGACCAAUUGAGAGCAAUCAUUGAACUACAUGAAAAAUUACAGAAGAACUCAGCGUUGACUAUUCUACGGUCAUUAGGGUCGUUCAGCAUUCGAAGCAAAUUGGAAAGGUGAAAAAGCUUGAUAAGUGGGUGCCUCAUGAGCUGAGCGGAAAUCAAAACUAUCGUUUUGAAGUGUAGUCUUCUUUUAUGCUACGCAACAACAAACCAUUUCUCAAUCGGAUUGUGACAUGUAAUGAAAAGUGAAUUUUAUACAACAACCAGCUCAGUGGUUGGACCAAGAGGCAGCUCCAAAGCAGUUCCCAAAGCCAAACUUGCACCAAAAAAAAGGUCAUGGUCACUGUUCGGUGGUCUGCUGCCCAUCUGAUCCACUACAGUUUUCUGAAUCCUGGUGAAACCAUUACAUCUGAGAAGUAUGCUCAGCAAAUUGGUAAGAUGCACCGAAAACUGCAAUACCUGCUGCCUGCAUUGGUCAACAGAAAGGGCCCAAUUCUUCUCCACGACAACACCUGACUGCGUGUCGCACAACCAGUGCUUCAAAAGUUGAAGGAAUUGGGCUACAAAGUUUUGCCUCAUCCACCAUAUUCACCUGACCUUUCGCCAACUGACUACCACUUCUGCUAGCAUCUUGACAACUUUUUGCAGGGAAAACACUUCAGCAUGGUGCAGAAAAUGCUUUCCAAGAGUUCGUCAAAUCCUGAAGCACGGAUUUUUAUGCUACAGGAAUAAACAAACAUUUCUCAUUGGCAAAAAUGUGUUGAUUGUAAUGGUUCCUGUUUUGAUUAAUAGAAUAUGUUUUAGCGUAGUUACAAUGAUUUAAAAUUCGCAGUCUGGAAAUUUAAUUUUUGCAUCAACCUAAUAUUUCUAUGGUAAAUCCUUGCAAACAUGGAAACAAUGCAUUUGGCCCAGUGCUUUGUGGUUGUGUACUCUUUUUCUUUGUUUUUUUAAUAGAUGGCAUUGGCCGGGCAUGGUGGCUCAUGCCUGUAAUCCCAGCAUUUUGGGAAGGUGAGGUGGGUGGAUCACCUGAGGUCAGGAGUUCAAGACCAGCCUGACUAACAUGGUAAAACCCCAUCUCUACUAAAAAUACAAAAAAAUUAGCUAGGCGGGGUGGCGGGCAUCUAAUUCCAGCUACUUCAUGAGGCUGCGACAGGAGAAUCAUUUGAACUCGGGAGGCAGAGGUUGCAGUGAGCCGAGAUCACACCAUUGCACUCCAGCCUGGGCGAUGAGCGAAACUGUCUCAAAAAAAAAAAAAGUUGGGGUCUCGCUGUGUUGACCAGGCUGGUCUCGAACUCCUGGCCUCAAGUGAUCCUCCCAUCUUGGCCUCCCAAAGUGUUAGGAUUACAGGCGUGAGCCACCACACCCUGCCUGGUUGUGUACUCUUUUAAAUACUAAGUUUUUAAUGUUAAAUGCUGCUUUUAGAUACACUGUAAAAAUACACCUAUCAAUGAGUUUUUUUAUUAAAAACAUUGCAAUUGUACUAGACUUUAAAUACUAAGCAAUAAUUCAGGCUUCAAUGUUGGUUUAUAGUUUUCUCAUUUCUUUCAUUUAAUACCUCUGUAAAAUGAAGCAGUUACUUCCAUUUUCCUGAGGUGAGAUAAGUGCCCUGCACAAUGUUAUAGGCCCAGUAAGUGAGACUGGAGCUCUGAUCUAAUCCCUUUGACAUUAAAGUUUGUGCAGUAAACCAGCUAUGUCAGUUUGCCACAUUUGUAAUAGUGUUCAAUAAAUUUUCACUUAAAGGUUUAAUAUUAAAGUAGUAGCAAGAAUUCAUAACCUUAAUUGGCUUUAACAGCUUUUCUUUCCCUGAAAACAGAUGCAUAUGUACACAUGCACACAGAUUGCUUACAAUAUCAGCACGUAAAAGGCCUUUGCACAUUGAAGUCGGCACUGCUUUGGUGCCUUUUUUGUUUUUUGGCUCGGUGUUUUGACUGCAAGUCUUUUUGGAUAGAAUUUUAUAGUUAGAAAGUAGCUAACACUUGGGUUUUAUAGGCACAAAAAACAAGUCUUAUACUAGCUGUACUUUAUUUUUUGAGUUCUUAUUAAUGAGGAACAUCCACUUUUGCAUUGACAGUGAUUUCAAGAUUGCUUUAUCAGCCUUUAAAGGAUUCUUGACUAGUCGUGCACAUCAGAACUGCCAGGUCCCCAGUGGUUCUGAAGCAGUAAGCUUUGGGUGGGCUCUGGCAUCAGCACUUUCACUAAGCUUCACAGAUAAUUCUGAUGCAUACUCCAGGCCUGAACCACUGAUCAAUUUGAAACAUGCAUAACAAAGCAAAAAAAGUUUUGUUUCACCUUUUGAAAUACAGUUAACUCUUUUACCAUGCCAGAGAUCAUUCAGAGAGACAGGUCGUUGCUCCGGAGUGAUACAGAUCUGGCAGUACCCAGCCCUUGUGUGUGUGCGUUAGCUCAGCACCUGCCCACACUGCGAGCCCCCGUAGGAUGUGCCUUGUCCUUCCCUGUUUCAGCACUUAACACACUACCUGGUACAGAGUAUGUAGUGGGCAUCUGUUGAAUGAAUGCUUUUCCCAGUAGCAGUGUAUUCAUACAAUAUUAAUAUAAUUGUCCCCUGGCUUACAGAUAAAAAUGAAAGCAUCAAGUGCCCAGUGAGUGAGACCCAGGUGUUCUUCCUCCACCCCUAGUGGUCCCCUGGGCAGGUCUUUUUUUUUUUGUAACACUCACCAGUCUGUUCUGUAGUCAAUCAUUGAUUGACUUGUCUGUGAACUUGGAGGAACUGUUUCAUAGUUUCAUUAGCACAGAGUAAACAUGUUUGCCAUGCAAGGUUAUUUUGCAUCUGCAUUUAAGUGAUAAUGUUGAAUCAAUGAAAAGUGUUGAUUAAGCAGUAGUUGUAGAUAUGCUAAGUUUUUCAAAUUACUAAUAUCAAGUGGAGAUUGUUUUUACUUUUAAGGGUAUUGCUUUUGUGAUAGCAUAAAUAAUGGUUUUCCUUUUUUGUAAUGUAA